UGCUAGUGAGUCAAUCAUGAGUACGUGUUUAGCCAGAGAAUCCUACUUGGAUUCUAGAGCAAAGUAUUUUCCUUAGGAAUUGAGAUUUGUAGAGUGUUAGGUAACUCCCAAGUGUGUGAGAUAGAGUUGAGAACCUCGCGGUGGUUCUACUCUUGGCAGGUCAUUUCUUCCUCAAAUUGGUACCACUAAGCCGGUCGUGGUCCGGAAAGUGGUGGGCUCAGUUUAGCUUGGUCGAUCACCAAGGCCGAGUGUCACACGUGGAUGUGACAGCCCCCGGCGAGUCCGAUCGAGGAUCAGGGCAAGACGAUUCCGAUUGAGGACCGUGACCGGGUGAUUCCCGAGCGCCUACCCCUGUGUGGUGUAAUAGUGAAGGGAUUGCCGGUGUCCCUUGUGUGGAGGAAGAAUGAUUUUGUUGGGCCCAAUUAGAGUGUCGUGUAGAAUAGAGGGUUGUGAAACCCUAGAGUGAGUGGUAACACCGAAAUACAGUGUUAAGAGUUAGACUCGAGUCAUAGUUAAUUAGUUUCUGGUUAUUGUGAAUGGUGUGAUUAAAUUAAAGAUUGGUUGCUGACUUGUUAU
rnacentral:lncRNA from 1 species